UCCCUGGUAGUCCAGAGGUUAGGACUUCACAUUUUCACCGAAGGGCCUGGGUUCAAUCCCUGGUCAGGGAA
rnacentral:tRNA from 1 species